rnacentral:lncRNA from 1 species
GACGCACUUAGAUCGAAAAGUGUUUGCGGGGCGGGUCCAGGAGCUUUAUAGGGCACGGUUUUGCGCUUGGACGAGAAAAUCCCAAAGAAUCUGGGGUUGGUUGCCUCGCUGGUAAUCCUGAUCGCAUCCUGGCGCAAGGGAGAAGAAAGGAAGGGGAGAGGAAGGCGUUGUCGUGUGGGCUUGGGCUGUCGGUGAGAGAAGAGGGAGAAGGGAAGAGCGCGCGGCUUGGGCCUUGGUCGGGUUGGCUGGGCCGGGGGGGGAGCUGGACUGCGGGGAACCGAGGGAGUUGGCCUUCGGCCGAAUCAGGGGUGGGCUCCUUCUAUUUUUUUUCUAUUUUCUUUUCCAAAGUCUUUUUCCAACAAGAAUUUUGAAUGCAAUUAAAUUCAAACCAAAAGUUAACAGCACAAAAUUAAAUAUGCUCCAGCAUGAAUGCUUAAACAAAUUUCUAUCCCUAUGUUGGAUUUUAAUUUCAACAAAAAUUUAUUUAUUCACUAAUUUAAAUGCUCACAAAAAUACUUAAAUAAAUCAAAUUAAAUCUUGUUAAUUGAAAAUCAAAUUUUGGGUGUUACAUUCGCAAUUAAGAGUUAUAUUUGGAUUAGUCAAGACUGCUUAGAAGGUCAACAGUAUGUCAUGACAAAAUGUUAGUUCAACUUGGCAUGCAAAACUGUACCAAUCUACAAUGUUUCAUGGUACAUGGUAUAUGUUGCUAGAAAGAUCUUGGAGUCUAAUUUCACACCCAAAAAACGGUUUAUCAUUUGGACUUUCCAAUAAGGAGUUAUGGUCAGUUUAUUGGAAACUACUCUAAAGGCCAACAGUCGUGCGAAACCACUUCGAGAGUCCAAUCUAAGGGGGCCUUUCUCAUUGCCUUCCUUCAAAAACUUCAUUUUGUUUUCAUACCCAUUUAGGAGCAUUGUUCUUAGAUAAAUAUUUCCUACCUCAAAGUUAUUAGCAACCUUUGAUCAUUUUAUAAACUACAUGAUAUUGCAGCUGCGCUGGUGAUUUUAUUAACUAGACCAAUUGAAUCGUUGGAUGACGAUCAAAGGGUUUAGGAUUGGAUGGAGAGGUAUUUCUAGUAUUUGGCUUCUGGCUAAGAUAUCCUAAGUAUAUUGAGAGUUAACUCCCUUCCUACUAUGACCGAUAGGUGAAAAGGGUGUGGCAAAACACUUCCGUAGGCAGCUACCAUGCAGGCAAAUUAUUAUUUACAACUUGCCUAACAACACACUGAAGAGAACUCCUAAUGUCCA